GGCAGCUCCGGGCGGGCAGGGCUCACACGGCAUGGAACACCAGGGAAAACUAACCCUAUCCCGGCCGGAACCAGGACUUCUGGCAUCUACUGCAGAAGACCUCAAUAAUGCAUAAGAACAUCUGGAAGUACGGUAAUUUCAGCUAUCAGAGAUAAGAAUUGACACAAAACAGGACCUGUCCCGGAGCCUCCUGCCUGUUCCAGCCCUGGAAGGCUUCAAAGCGGGUCAGGGCAUCUGCAGCAGGUUCCUGAGCAGGAGGAAAAGGUCACGAGAAGCUUUUCUUGUCGGUGCGGGAGCGUCGCCUUCCCCGCGAACACAAAGGAUGGAAGUGCCCUGGGAAGAGGGUGGACUCCGUCACUUCAGCAGGGCCAACGUUGUACCCAAAACGUGAGAAAUCUGAGAUCUGCUCCUCCCCGAACCUCGCUGGGCAGCGCUCCUCUGGCUGGUAGGAACGGCAAAACUUCGGAUGCCGUGAGUACAGAAAUAUCCACGGUCUGUGGAGCUGCUUCUCUGUCUCCCCACCUGACCCUCGCUCGUGGGAUUGGAGCCUCUCCCGGCUGGCCUGCAGGGAGCCUGGGGAGCACCGCACCGAUGGUGGUUUCCAGAAUUAGUACAUUCGCUGCUCUCUCUGUGCGCAGUGAGUGAGGCAGGCUGCUUGCAAACAGGAGUGGGAUUUUUUUUAAGAGUCUGCAGUUACAGCAUAGCAAAAUUUUAUAUAUUAAAGCACAGUCUACGCUUUUGGAAAGUCAGCAUAACUUCAGCGCUAAAUGUGUGAGUGAGAUACCCUUUUCACCACCUUUUAGGCACAGUCACAGGCAGACAAAUUGCUGUUCGAAUCUAUUCAGGAUACGUGUCCAAAAUAUUUUGGUUUUUCUGAACUUUUGGGGGUUUUUCGUUUGGGCUUUGGUUUGGUUUUUUUGGG